GCGAGUAUGGCCCUCACGGGUCUAAUCCACCAUAAACACCUUUGUGAACCAGUCAGGGGGACUCGGCCGUGAAAGCCCAGGCGAUUAGCGGAAGGGCCCUCCUUUGCAAACCCGUUUGGAAGUCUUGAAAGUACUUUUGUAUAAUCUAGUA
rnacentral:misc_RNA from 1 species